UUGAACUUCAGGUCAAGGCAUAAACGAGUUUUCCCAAGAUCCUUCAUCUCAAAUUCCAUCUUCAGGUGUGAGGCAUUUUUCUGAAGCUCUUCUAAAGUAUUAGUAAGAUUUGUAUUAAUGACAUAAACUGCAACUCUAGAAAUUCGGAAUAAGACUUCAUAGUUUAACACGCAAAGACAUUCACUUAGAUGGGUAUACCACAUCCGCCAGAUAGUUUCACUUCACAAACGAGUUGAGAGGGUGAACUAUUUGAACUAGUCCAUGUAAUUCUUCAAGAACUUACAUGUAAAUCUCUGUAUCUAUAUCCCUAUGGAGAAACACUAACCACAUUUCAUAAUGUUGCUAUCAAUCACAGGACGUUUUAAGAGAAACCUUGUGCUGUAAGGCAUGCAUCAUAGCGCACCAUUUCAUUCAUCUCAUAACGAUUCCUUUCCCACUUGUAACACAACAAGGUUACCUUGGGCAGUGUAGGAACGAUAGGUCCAAAAAACACUUUGGUAAGGAACUUGACCUGGAUUGCAAUUUUGGUUAUCCAAUCAGUUCUACAUUAUCACUUAAUCAACGGAACAUAGUUCGAUAUUGUCGCUUUUUAUUUAUGUCGGUAGCUACCAUAUAAGUGAAAACAUCAUCGAUGGUAAUCUCAUUUCAAUUCCAUUUUCUCAUCCAAACUAG
rnacentral:lncRNA from 1 species